CCCGCAACGCCUGACCGACCUCGUCGGUGGCUUCCUUCCAAAUCUCCACCAGCGCCUCGUUGCGCUCGUCGUGGUUCAAAGCGCCACGCUGGAACUGCUUUUCGACCUUGUCCGCGCGCUCCUCGUAGUGGUCGAGGAUCUCCUUCUUGCGCGGCGGCACCAGCACGUCGG
rnacentral:sRNA from 1 species